UACGGGGGGAGCAAGCGUUGUUCGGAUUUACUGGGCGUAAAGGGCGCGUAGGCGGUCGUGACAAGUCACUUGUGAAAUCUCCGGGGCUUAACUCGGAACGGUCAAGUGAUACUGUCGGACUAGAGUACAGAAGGGGCAACUGGAAUUCUCGGUGUAGCGGUGAAAUGCGUAGAUAUCGAGAGGAACACCUGCGGCGAAGGCGGCUCACUGGACCGGAACUGACGCUGAGACGCGAAAGCGUGGGGGAGCAAACAGG
rnacentral:rRNA from 1 species